GCCCUGUGGUUCCCAGACCUGACAUUUCCAUGCAGUACUCUGGUGUUAUUAAAUGGGCAGAAAUAAAAGCUGUGAUACUUUGCAUGGGGCAUUGUGCUGUACUUGUCCCCAUAGCCCGGUCACAUUAACAUUU
rfam:Xenopus laevis strain J chromosome 4L, whole genome shotgun sequence.